rnacentral:tRNA from 1 species
GCGGCAGUAGCUCAGUGGUGAAGCCCCAGCUUCGCAUGCUGGGAGAGCUGGGUUCGAUUCCCGGCUGCUUCC